AGCGAACGCUGGCGGCAGGCCUAAUACAUGCAAGUCGAACGGAUCCUUCGGGAUUAGUGGCGGACGGGUGAGUAACACGUGGGAACGUGCCUUUAGGUUCGGGACAACCCAGGGAAACUUGGGCUAAUACCGAAUAAGCCCUUCGGGGGAAGGAUUAUCGCCUUUAGAGCGGCCCGCGUCUGAUUAGCUUGUUGGUGGGGUAAGUGGCCUACCAAGGCUACGAUCAGUAGCUGGUCUGAGAGGAUGANCAGCCACACUGGGACUGAGACACGGCCCACGACUCCUACGGGAGGCAGCAGUAGGGAAUCUUGCGCAAUGGGCGAAAGUCUGACGCAGCCAUGCCGCGUGGAUGAUGAAGGUCUUAGGAUUGUAAAAUCCUUUCAGCGGGACGAUAAUGACGUACCCGCAGAAGAAGCCCGGCUAACUUCGUGCCAGCAGCCGCCGC
rnacentral:rRNA from 1 species